UACGGGGGGGGGCAAGCGUUGUUCGGAAUUACUGGGCGUAAAGCGUGCGCAGGCGGUUUUGUAAGCCGGAUGUGAAAUCCCCGGGCUUAACCUGGGAAUGGCAUUCGGGACUGCAAGGCUGGAGUGCGGCAGAGGAGACUGGAAUUCCUGGUGUAGCGGUGAAAUGCGCAGAUAUCAGGAGGAACACCGGUGGCGAAGGCGGGUCUCUGGGCCGAUACUGACGCUGAGGAGCGAAAGCGUGGGGAGCGAACAGG
rnacentral:rRNA from 1 species